GAGGGAAAGUUGCAAAGAACUUUGAAGAGAGAGUUCAAGAGGGCGUGAAACCGCUUGGAAGCAAACGGGUGGAGCUGAAGGUAGUCAGCUGGAUUCAGCCUGGGGCUGCGAGUGCUGGUUGGCGUGUGAUUUUAAAGCGCCUGAUUUGGCUAGUUGUCGCUCUUUGGGUGCAUUUCCGGCUGAUGCACAUCAAGGGCAGUGGUUCUACUGUGGAAAGCACGCUAAAGAGGGCCUGGUCUUUGACUGGGUGUCCUAGAGUUGGCUGACCUCUAGUUGGGUCUACUGUAAGACCAGUACCCGAUUUUGUCUUGGUAUUGCUUGAUCUUUGGAUUUUAUGCUGCGUCCCUGCUUGCUGUAGGGCUGGGUAUUGGUUGUUCUGAUGCUGAUUGUGAGAUCUGAGCUGGUACGACCUUGGUGUUUAUUGUCAGUUUCCCACCUGACCCGUCUUGAAACACGGACCAAGGAGUCUAACAUAUGCGCGAGUUAGUGGGUAGCAAACCCAAAGGCGAAAUGAAGGUGAAGGCUUGCUGAUAUGGGAUCCCAGUUUAGCUGGGCGCACCAUAUUCCCGGCCUAUCUGCAUUGUCAGUUGGUCGGCGAAAGAGCGUAUGUGUUGGGACCCGAAAGAUGGUGAACUAUGCCUGAGCAGGAUGAAGCCAGAGGAAACUCUGGUGGAGGUCCAUAGCGGUUCUGACGUGCAAAUCGAUCGUCAGACUUGGGUAUAGGGGCGAAAGACUAAUCGAACCAUCUAGUAGCUGGUUUCCUUCGCAAA
rnacentral:rRNA from 1 species